rnacentral:sRNA from 1 species
UCUUAACCAUUUCUCCCUUCUGGCGUACCCUCUUUCAUUGAAAUCCAUGCAGAAUAUACCAGAGAUGGGCAGUAGCGAACCCCUUCCCAUCGCAGAUGGUGACAGGAGGAGGAAGAAGAAGCGGAGGGCCCGGGCCACUGACUCCUUGCCAGGAAAGUUUGAAGAUAUGUACAAGCUGACCUCUGAAUUGCUUGGAGAGGGAGCCUAUGCCAAAGUUCAAGGUGCCGUGAGCCUACAGAAUGGCAAAGAGUAUGCCGUCAAAAUCAUCGAGAAACAAGCAGGGCACAGUCGGAGUAGGGUGUUUCGAGAGGUGGAGACGCUGUAUCAGUGUCAGGGAAACAAGUGAGUAUCAUGUGAUUCUCGCUGCUUCUCUGGGGGGACGCUUGGCCACAGAAGAGGAGGCUAUUUCUUACCAUCUCCUGACUCCAGCAUUUAGCUCUCACUCCUGUCCCCACAAGGCAGGUACCGCCUUCCGCCCCUUUCAGUGUUAGGGAGAGAAAAGAAAAGCAGCAGUAACAGCAAAGGAGCUAUUAUCUCUUCUGAAAUACUGUAAAUAUCAUCAAUUCAGGCAAGUUAGAAGAAUGAAUGAUCUGAAUCAGUGGUUGGGGGGAAAUGGGGUUUUAUUUCUUUCGGUACCUGUGGAAAC